rnacentral:rRNA from 1 species
ACGAACGCUGGCGGCGUGCUUAACCCAUGCCCGUCGAACGGUGAAGGGGUCUGCUUUUGUGGGCCCUGGAUGAGUGGCGAACGGGUGAGUAACACGUGAGUAACCUGUCCCCUUCUUCUGGAUAACCGCAUGAAAGUGUGGCUAAUACGGGAUAUUCUGGGUCUGUCGCAUGAUGGGUCUGGGAAAGAUUGCGCCUUUGGGUGUUUUUGGUGGGGGAUGGGCUCGCGGCCUAUCAGCUUGUUGGUGGGGUGAUGGCCUACCAAGGCGGUGACGGGUAGCCGGGCUGAGAGGGUGGACGGUCACACUGGGACUGAGACACGGCCCAGACUCCUACGGGAGGCAGCAGUGGGGAAUAUUGCACAAUGGGCGCAAGCCUGAUGCAGCGACGCCGCGUGAGGGAUGGAGGCCUUCGGGGUGUAAACCUCUUUCGCCAGUGAAGCAGGCCUGCUCCGUGUGGGUGGGUUGACGGUAGCUGGAGAAGAAGCGCCGGCUAACUACGUG